ACUCCGAUAGUGUAAUGGCAGCAUCCCGGUCUCCAAAACCGUUGGUACUGGUUCGAAUCCGGUUCGGAGUG
rfam:Chryseobacterium indologenes strain CI_885 contig_12, whole genome shotgun sequence.